rnacentral:rRNA from 1 species
UGAGUAACACGUAUGCAACCUGCCUGCCACAGCCGGAUAAUCGGGAGAAAUUCCGUCUAAUACGGCAUAAUGCAUCGACGGGACAUCCUUGUUGGUGCCAAAGGUUAAUUCCGGUGGCGGAUGGGCAUGCGUCGCAUUAGUUAGUUGGCGGUGUAACGGACCACCAAGACGACGAUGCGUAGGGGUUCUGAGAGGAAGGUCCCCCACACUGGUACUGAGACACGGACCAGACUCCUACGGGAGGCAGCAG